rnacentral:tRNA from 1 species
UAUAUUUAGGUGUAUGAUGCACGAAAGUUUUUGAUACUUUAAGGAGUAGUUUAAAUCUACUAAAUGUAA